rnacentral:tRNA from 1 species
GCUCGUCUAGUAUAGUGGUUAGUACGACGCCCUGUCGCGGCGUAGACUCGGGUUCGAUUCCCGGGACGGGCG